AUGCUUUAAGGUGGAAGGCUACAUCGUCAAAACAUGUCUGACUUCCGUUCGAAACGCCAUUGUGUUCCGGAUUGAUAACAUUAUGUCGUGGUACAAAAUAGCUAUACACCGUUUAAUCGAACUCUUCUAACUAAGGAGAUGAGAUAGGAAUGGAAUCACCAAAACGCUUAGAAAAUAUGUCAAUUUUCUUCCUGUUUAAAGCUUUUCACUAACAUUGAUUAUCAGCUGUUUUGUACGGAAAACGUGGAAUCUAAAUAAUAUACCGUUUCCCUGCUCUGCUGCUAUUGGCAGUACAUUUUUGUCAUGUCAUCUGCAACAGACGGUCAUACAUAUGUGGCGGAUUAUCGAUAAAGCUAGGCAGCAAUAGCAGUGGAAGCCCGGAUUUGCAAGCCAAAUGAGGGAAAGACAGAAUUCGGAAAAGGAGAAUGUUUUUCAUUUCCACACAUGCAUGUGUAUCACUAUAGACAUCUAAUGUUUUUGUGGGAUUUUGUCCAGCAGUUUGCCUUAAAAGAAUUUUUUUAUAUUUUAGUUUCAUAUUUAUGUGGAUUCCAAUAAAAAUCAUACAAACUUCA